rnacentral:lncRNA from 1 species
UUUGGCAUGUCUAUGAGUUUGUCCUAAAGAUUUUUAUUCAUUUAACUUUAUUUUAAAAUCAGUCGCUUCACAGGCUGUGUGAUUGUCAUGUUAAAAAGUGAACUAAGCAAUUUCAUGGUAAACUAUCGUAAAUUAAACAGUACGGACAAAUGAAUGGACAAACAGACAGAAAGAUGGACGCGUAAACCGGAAACCACAAUGUCCCCUUAAUAUCGUAAGCAUGGCUUAAACAUGUAUUUACGUUCACUUACAGUACAUAAAGUAAAUAUUAAGG